GAUGAACGCUGGCGGCGUGCCUAAUACAUGCAAGUCGAGCGAACGGACGAGAAGCUUGCUUCUCUGAUGUUAGCGGCGGACGGGGGAGUAACACGUGGAUAACCUACCUAUAAGACUGGGAUAACUUCGGGAAACCGGAGCUAAUACCGGAUGAUAUUUUGAACCGCAUGGUUCAAAAGUGAAAGACGGUCUUGCUGUCACUUAUAGAUGGAUCCGCGCUGCAUUAGCUAGUUGGUAAGGUAACGGCUUACCAAGGCAACGAUGCAUAGCCGACCUGAGAGGGUGAUCGGCCACACUGGAACUGAGACACGGUCCAGACUCCUACGGGAGGCAGCAGUAGGGAAUCUUCCGCAAUGGGCGAAAGCCUGACGGAGCAACGCCGCGUGAGUGAUGAAGGUCUUCGGAUCGUAAAACUCUGUUAUUAGGGAAGAACAUAUGUGUAAGUACCUGUGCACAUCUUGACGGUACCUAAUCAGAAAGCCACGGCUAACUACGUG
rnacentral:rRNA from 1 species